UGGGGAAUAUUGGACAAUGGGCGCAAGCCUGAUCCAGCCAUGCCGCGUGUGUGAAGAAGGCCUUUUGGUUGUAAAGCACUUUAAGCGAGGAGGAGGCUACUUGGAUUAAUACUCUAGGAUAGUGGACGUUACUCGCAGAAUAAGCACCGGCUAACUCUGUGCCAGCAGCCGCGGUAAUACAGAGGGUGCGAGCGUUAAUCGGAUUUACUGGGCGUAAAGCGUGCGUAGGCGGCUUUUUGAGUCGGAUGUGAAAUCCCUGAGCUUAACUUAGGAAUUGCAUUCGAUACUGGGAAGCUAGAGUAUGGGAGAGGAUGGUAGAAUUCCAGGUGUAGCGGUGAAAUGCGUAGAGAUCUGGAGGAAUACCGAUGGCGAAGGCAGCCAUCUGGCCUAAUACUGACGCUGAGGUACGAAAGCAUGGGGAGCAAACAGG
rnacentral:rRNA from 1 species